UGGGGAAUUUUGGACAAUGGGGGCAACCCUGAUCCAGCAAUGCCGCGUGUGUGAAGAAGGCCUUCGGGUUGUAAAGCACUUUUGUCCGGAAAGAAAACGUCGUGGUUAAUACCCGUGGCGGCUGACGGUACCGGAAGAAUAAGCACCGGCUAACUACGUGCCAGCAGCCGCGGUAAUACGUAGGGUGCAAGCGUUAAUCGGAAUUACUGGGCGUAAAGCGUGCGCAGGCGGUCCGCUAAGACAGAUGUGAAAUCCCCGGGCUUAACCUGGGAACUGCAUUUGUGACUGGCGGGCUAGAGUAUGGCAGAGGGGGGUAGAAUUCCACGUGUAGCAGUGAAAUGCGUAGAGAUGUGGAGGAAUACCGAUGGCGAAGGCAGCCCCCUGGGCCAAUACUGACGCUCAUGCACGAAAGCGUGGGGGAGCAAACAGGAUUAGAUACCCUGGUAGUCCACGCCCUAAACGAUGUCAACUAGUUGUCGGGUCUUCAUUGACUUGGUAACGUAGCUAACGCGUGAAGUUGACCGCCUGGGAGUACGGUCGCAAGAUUAAAAACUC
rnacentral:rRNA from 1 species